rnacentral:rRNA from 1 species
UACGUAGGGUGCAAGCGUUGUCCGGAAUUAUUGGGCGUAAAGAGCUCGUAGGCGGCCUGUCGCGUCGGCUGUGAAAACCCGGGGCUCAACCCCGGGCCUGCAGUCGAUACGGGCAGGCUAGAGUCCGGCAGGGGAGACGUGGAAUUCCUGGUGUAGCGGUGAAAUGCGCAGAUAUCAGGAGGAACACCGGUGGCGAAGGCGGGUCUCUGGGCCGGAACUGACGCUGAGGAGCGAAAGCGUGGGGAGCGAACAGG